AACGGUAACAGGAAACAGCUUGCUGUUUCGCUGACGAGUGGCGGACGGGUGAGUAAUGUCUGGGAAACUGCCUGAUGGAGGGGGAUAACUACUGGAAACGGUAGCUAAUACCGCAUAACGUCGCAAGACCAAAGAGGGGGACCUUCGGGCCUCUUGCCAUCGGAUGUGCCCAGAUGGGAUUAGCUUGUUGGUGGGGUAACGGCUCACCAAGGCGACGAUCCCUAGCUGGUCUGAGAGGAUGACCAGCCACACUGGAACUGAGACACGGUCCAGACUCCUACGGGAGGCAGCAGUGGGGAAUAUUGCACAAUGGGCGCAAGCCUGAUGCAGCCAUGCCGCGUGUAUGAAGAAGGCCUUCGGGUUGUAAAGUACUUUCAGCGGGGAGGAAGGGAGUAAAGUUAAUACCUUUGCUCAUUGACGUUACCCGCAGAAGAAGCACCGGCUAACUCCGUGCCAGCAGCCGCGGUAAUACGGAGGGUGCAAGCGUUAAUCGGAAUUACUGGGCGUAAAGCGCACGCAGGCGGUUUGUUAAGUCAGAUGUGAAAUCCCCGGGCUCAACCUGGGAACUGCAUCUGAUACUGGCAAGCUUGAGUCUCGUAGAGGGGGGUAGAAUUCCAGGUGUAGCGGUGAAAUGCGUAGAGAUCUGGAGGAAUACCGGUGGCGAAGGCGGCCCCCUGGACGAAGACUG
rnacentral:rRNA from 1 species